rnacentral:rRNA from 1 species
UACGGAGGGAGCUAGCGUUGUUCGGAAUUACUGGGCGUAAAGCGCACGUAGGCGGCUUUGUAAGUUAGAGGUGAAAGCCUGGGGCUCAACUCCAGAAUUGCCUUAAGACUGCAUCGCUUGAAUCAUGGAGAGGCGAGUGGAAUUCCGGAGUGUAGAGGUGAAAUUCGUAGAUAUUCGGAAGAACACCAGUGGCGAAGGCGGCUCGCUGGACAUGUAUUGACGCUGAGGUGCGAAAGCGUGGGGAGCAAACAGG